rnacentral:rRNA from 1 species
AACGAACGCUGGCGGCAGGCCUAACACAUGCAAGUCGAACGGGACCUUCGGGUCUAGUGGCGGACGGGUGAGUAACGCGUGGGAACGUGCCCUUUGGUUCGGAAUAGCCCCGGGAAACUGGGAGUAAUACCGGAUAAGCCCUACGGGGGAAAGAUUUAUCGCCAAAGGAUCGGCCCGCGUUGGAUUAGGUAGUUGGUGGGGUAAUGGCCUACCAAGCCGACGAUCCAUAGCUGGUUUGAGAGGAUGAUCCGCCACACUGGAACUGAGACACGGCCCAGACUCCUACGGGAGGCAGCAGUGGGGAAUCUUGGACAAUGGGGGCAACCCUGAUCCAGCGACGCCGCGUGGGUGAUGAAGGCCUUCGGGUCGUAAAGCCCUUUUGCCGGGGAAGAUGAUGACGGUACCCGGAGAAGAAGCACCGGCUAACUCUGUGCCAGCAGCCGCCGUAAGAC